UCCUGUGCUCCAGGGAGCUGUUACUUGUGCCUUCUUGUUCUUGGGAUGGUUGUGGAUCUGGACAUGGCUUUUGUGAUUCCCUUGUUCUGCAAAGUUCAGGAAGUGGGAAGAGUUCUCACCUCAUGUCUCCUGCCUGGGAAAAGGAGCGACAGGAGCGUUUCUGAGGCUACAAAGGGAAAAAAGAUCCCGAGGUGACCUACCUGUGUCUGGCUCCUGCUUGUACAACUUGCUGCGUGGUGUUGGUGCGGCAGGAACAGCGGCGUCCCGCGCUUUUCCUGGGAAAGCAGAGUGAGAACGAGAGAGGCAAUAUUCACAGGAGAAUCAAAACGUGACCUGGGCUGGUUGUGCAAAAAUUCCAACGGCCUUCAAAUCUGGAGAUGCUUCCUGGUGAAUUGUACAGGUGUGUUUUAGGGUAGGGGUGUUUUCACAAGGGUUAAAGUACUAAAAUGACUGGGAGCUGUGAAAAGCCAACUGCAAAGUUUGAAGGGUGCAUUUGAAAUAAACCUGGACCUGAAGGGGGGAAAAAAUAUAACCCUAGCAUUGGCUGUCUUUGUGAUAAGGUCUCUGAGAUUUUUCUCAAAUAAUUAGCAGGAUAUAAAUACAUCGGUUCAAAGAAA